rnacentral:rRNA from 1 species
AGAGUUUGAUCCUGGCUCAGAACGAACGCUGGCGGCAUGCCUCAUACAUGCAAGUCGAACGAAGGCUUCGGCCUUAGUGGCGCACGGGUGAGUAGCGCGUGGGAACCUACCCUUUUGUGGGGGAUAACCGAGGGAAACUUCGGCUAAUACCGCAUACGCCGGGUAACCGGGAAAGAUUUAUCGCAGAAGGAUGGGCCCGCGUCGGAUUAGCUAGUUGGUGGGGUAAUGGCCUACCAAGGCAAUGAUCCGUAGCUGGUCUGAGAGGAUGAUCAGCCACACUGGGACUGAGACACGGCCCAGACUCCUACGGGAGGCAGCAGUAGGGAAUAUUGGACAAUGGGCGAAAGCCUGAUCCAGCAAUGCCGCGUGAGUGAGGAAGGCCUUAGGGUUGUAAAGCUCUUUCGGCGGGGACGAUGAUGACGGUACCCGCAGAAGAAGCCCCGGCUAACUUCGUGCCAGCAGCCGCGGUAAUACGAAGGGGGCGAGCGUUGUUCGGAAUUACUGGGCGUAAAGGGCGCGUAGGCGGCCAUCUUUGUCAGGCGUGAAAGCCCUGGGCUCAACCCAGGAAUUGCGCUUGGGACGGGAUGGCUUGAGUUCGGGAGAGGAGAGUGGAAUUCCCAGUGUAGAGGUGAAAUUCGUAGAUAUUGGGAAGAACACCGGUGGCGAAGGCGGCUCUCUGGACCGAUACUGACGCUGAGGCGCGAAAGCGUGGGGAGCAAACAGGAUUAGAUACCCCCGUAGUCC